rnacentral:rRNA from 1 species
AAAAAUAUGUAAGAUAUAUAAAGUAUGUAAAGAAACUAUUAAGGAUAAUUAGCUAUAUAUUAAAGAUAGAUAGUUAUAAAUCUAAAAUCUAAGAUAAAUUAAUUAAAUAAACAAAGUGAACUGAAGUAUCUUAGUAACUUUAGGAAAAGAAAUCAAACGAGAUUUUAUUAAAAAUUCUUUUAAUAAAUAAGCUUAUAAGUAAAACGAAAAAAAAAUUUGUUUGAAAAAAGGGGAACCUUCCUCUAAAGCUAAAUAUAAUAUAUAAGCGAUAGUGAAAAAGUACCGUGAGGGAAAAUUUGAAUUAGUAGUUUUAUAAGCAGCUCGAAAAAAAGAGUGUACCUUUUGCAUAAUGGGUCAGCAAGUUAUGAUUAGAAGCGAGCAAUAAAAUAUUGCCCAGUUAAACCAAUUAUGAAAAAAUAAUAUAGUUUCUAAACAUAGACCCGAAAGCUAGUGAUCUUACCAUGGUCAGGGUAAUGAAGCCCGAACGAGUUAUCGUUGUAAAGAUAUUCGAUGAACUGUGGUAAGUUGGUGAAAGAUAAAACUGACUAGUCUAGCUGGUUUUCCGCGAAACCUAUUUAAGUAGGUAAUUUAACUAACAUCUUAGCAGGUACAGAACUGUGAUCUCUGGCAAAAAUUUAUUUUUGUAUAUCUCGGGGGAUCGUGAAGAUUUUAUCGGAGAGUAUUUGCACUCGGAAUGGCAAAGAUGAAUGUUGAAUAAUCAGACAUAGUGCGAUAAGGUUGUAUGUCUAAAGGGAAACAGCCCAGAACAAGAGUAAUAAGGUUCCAAAAUUAUUAUUGAGUGAAAUUAAGGAUGUUAUUAUCAAAUACAAUCAGGAAAUAGGCUUAGAAGCUGCCAUUUUUUGAAGAUCUCGUAACAGAGCACUGAUUAAAUAUUUUAGAUAUUAAUACCGAAAAUAUAACGGAUCUAAAUAAUAUACCGAAACCUUGUACGUAUAAUUAUACGGGGUAGCGGAACAUUGGAUAAAUCUUAGAUUUUAUCUUUUUUAAGUAAAAAAAAAUAAUAGAUAAUCCAAGAGAGAAUGCUGACAUGAGUAACGAAAAAGGAAAAUUUUAUUUCCCUCGCCUUAAGCUUAUGGUUUAUUUUAAAUUUCGGUAUCUAAGUAUAUACCCCAAAGGGUCUAUAUGAUGAUAAUAAUAAUUAUUUUUUGUAAACAAAAUCUUUAUUUAGUGAUAAAGGUUCAGGAAAUUGUAACAAAAAUCUAAAAAAAAAUAAUUAUAAACCGUACCUAAAUACUAUCGCAAGUAAGCAAGUAGAGUAUACAAAGGCGUUUGAGUGAACAAUCAUUAAGGAACUCGGCAAAUUAACUACCGUAACUUCGGGAUAAGGAGGACCAUUAUUAUAGAUACAUAAGUAUCAAAUAGUAAAAGGAAUCAUAAAAUAGUGUUGUACGACUGUUUAAUUAAAACAAAGCACUCUGCCAAGAUAGAAAUCUAAGUAUUGAGUGUGAUGUCUGCCCGAUGUCGGUAGGGUAACAGAUUUACUUAAUUAUUUAAUUAGGUUUUGAUGAACACCCCGAUUAAUGGCGGCCUUAUCUAUAAGGGUCCUAAGGUAGCGGAAUACCUUGGCCGUUAAAUGCGGUCUUUGCAUGAAUGACUUAACGAUACAACAGCUGUCUCGAUGAUUGGCUCAGUGAAAUUGAAUUAGCAGUGCAGAUGCUGCUUACCUCUAGAUAGACAAGAAGACCCUUUGCAGCUUUACUGUUACCUACUAUGAUAUAAUUUGAUAAUUUCCAGUGUAUAAGGUAAUAGUUAUGAAAUUGAAACACCUUUAUUUGUUCUAUUAUAUUCUUUAUGGUAGGAAGGCAGUUUAUGCGGGGCACAGAUCCCAUAAAAAGUACCUGGGUAUAUCCAAAGUUCAUAUUGUAAUUUUGUAGAUUUUUAUUUACAAAAAUUCAUUAAAUAUUUUUAUUGAAUUUUUUAUUUAAUUUGUAAUUAAUUAUUAUUAAUUAUCCAGUUAUUGUUUAUAUUAAGUUAGUUAUUAUUAAUUUUUUUUAAGUAAGAUUUUAACUAUAUGGUAAAUAGAUGUAAAUUAAAUAAUAAUAUAACUAUAUUAUUAUUUAGUCAUAUUAAUAGAGAAAUUUUACUUAUUAUUAUGAUGAUGUUUUUUUACUUUAAAAGUUUAAUGGCUUAAUCUUGCUUUACUGUUUGACUUACAAGUCUAUCAGUCGCGUAAGCGGGGCAUAUGAUCACAAGAUUCAUAAAUAAAGAUGAAUAAAUAGUCUGAACCUUUUUGAAAGAAAAGGAAAUAAAAGAUUAAAAACUUUUAUGAUAACAUAAUUGAACAGGCUAAUUUGCGCAAGAGAGUACAAAUUGAGUGCGCGGUUUGGCACCUCGAUGUCGGCUUAACUCAUCCACAUGAAUGUAUAAAUCAUGAAGGGUUCGACUGUUCGUCGAUUAAAGAGUUACAUGAGCUGGGUUUAAUACGUCGUGAGACAGUAUGGUUUUUAUCUUCUAGAGGGAUACAGAGUAAAAGAUAAAUAGUCCCUUCGUACGAAAGGAGUUGGGAAUGUUGACCUAUGGUUUACCUGUUGUUUAAUAUUGUUUAUAACUAAUUUACUAUCACUAAAGUAAAAAUUAUGAAUAUACACCUUAUUCAGGAAUGAUAUUGUGUAUAUGAUUGCUUAUUAAGCAUGGCAGGAAAGCUAAGUCAAUUAUAGAUAAGUGCUGAAAGCAUUUAAGCGCGAAGCUUAUUAUCUUAUACUCUUUUAUAUACGUAAUAUAAUAUUACGUAAUAGGCUUUAGUUGUAAUAAAUUUAAUUUUUUUUUUUUAGACAUAAAGUACUAAUUUAUUAU